CCUACGGGAGGCAGCAGUGGGGAAUAUUGGACAAUGGAGGAAACUCUGAUGCAGCGAAGCAGCGUGAGGGAGGAAGUCUCUCGGUAUGGUAAGCUCUAUUUGUAGGGGAGAAAAUGACGGUACGUGACUCAGCAGCUACGGAUAACUACGUGCCGGCAGCCGUGGUAAUACGGAGGGGGCCAGCGUUAUACGGAUUUACUGGGUGUAAAGGGGGCGUAGACGGUUUAUCAAGUCAGAUGUGAAAGCCCGGGGCUCAACCUUGGAACUGCUUGUGAAACUGGGAAUCUAGAGUGCAGUAGAGGUAAGCGGAAGUCCUAGUGUAGCGGUGAAAUGCGUAGAUAUUAGGAGGAACACCAGUGGCGAAGGCGGCUUACUGGACUGUAACUGACGUUGAGGCUCGAAAGCGUGGGGAGCAAACAGGAUUAGAUACCCCAGUAGUC
rnacentral:rRNA from 1 species